rnacentral:misc_RNA from 1 species
AUGAGUCAGCUGGGUCGC